AGAUAGGACUUGAAUCACUG
rnacentral:miRNA from 1 species